AGAGAGGUGGAUGAGUGGUUUAAGUCGCACGCCUGGAAAGCGUGUAUACGUGUAUAGCGUAUCGAGGGUUCGAAUCCCUUCCUCUCUGCCA
rnacentral:tRNA from 1 species